AAGAAAUUAAAAGCGCAUCUUUCUCUUCUUGAAUACGUCGCCAGCAGGACGAGACAGAAAUAAGAGCUCCAGCGGCACCUUUAUCGGGGUAGUAACCGAAAGCAUGAUUGCAGUUGACAGCACAGUCUCGCACAGCGGAGCUGCCCGCUUCGCCGCCUGGCGAUGGACGCGGCAAGCGCGGAAAGGAUAACAUGAUUCUGUGCGCACCUACCUCCAUCAAGCCCGUUUGAUAUCAAAAGACUAGAAGACAUAAUAAAAGCAUAUCCUGGUUCUUGGAUUAUCACUGGGGACUUUAACGCCCGUCGCACCAUUUGGAGAAGCUCAAAAGUCACCGCAGCGGGACGAAAACUCGCUUCCUUUGUCGCCAAUCAUAACCUCUUGCUGCUGAAUGAUCAUAGUCCUACAUUUCUAGGGGGCACAGUGCACAGCAGCUGCCUGCACUUGACCUUUGUAUCGCGCCCCUUUGCCACGCGCGUUCAGUGGUUUUUGGACAUUGAGACGCAUGGGGGCGAUCACAUCCCCACUUACCCUAAGAUCAACGGGAUAUCUAAGACUCAUUCGCUUAACACACUACGUAGAAUAGAUUGGACUGUGUUUAAAAAUCUACUGGAGCACGUUCGUCGGGAAGGCCUCCCCUCUGGACUGCAAGAAGCUAUUAAAG
rnacentral:misc_RNA from 1 species